UGUUGUGGCUAGUAAACUAGUAUAGUAUAUUUAAUAACUAUUGUUAAAAAGAAAGAUAGGAAAUGGAAAUACUCCAUUGAAAAGAGAUGCCUCAUCAUCCGUCUGGCGUUUUCUGACGCUGUAUUAUCUUAUCAUAGAUAAUCAUUCGGCCAAUCCAUAACUGUGAACACUCCAACCCGCCAAGCAACUAUCCAGAACCAGAGGUUUUAUUACCGUGUGAAAAUGGCAAUGCAAAAUCUUGCUGGCAGAUUGCAGAUUAACCUCAAGCUUAUAUGGGCUUUUAAAUCACUCUGUAAACUUCGAUGAAUCGUAUUUGGCUUUUACUUAAAGGUUUGGUGAAGUCCGGAAUUGGGUUAUGCAGUAUAUAUCCAUGGCUGGUGUUACACGGGGAUGCUUGUUCUUGGUGCGUUUGUGUGCUGCACUGGUUAUUAUUUGCUGACUUGGAAUUCAACGCUCUACUCAUGGUAUUCCUUUCAAGCUCGUUUAUUUUCGCAGCAGAAUGAUGUGUCUUGAUGUUACAGGAAUAGCAGCAGACUGGUAUUAAUUUUAUGGAAAAGAUAUCUUCUGGCAAAGAGGUUCAUGAGAAGGAAGUAGCAGCAAGGGAGUCGCUCAUAGAUAUCUCGGACUUGUUGCCGGAAAACUCAAACAGCACUGAGAGGCCGAGUGAAGUGAAAGAUUAUUUUGAUGGAACAGAAAAGUAUAGAUCUGAACUGAUCUCCAUAUCCAAUUCGCAAUCACCAGAUAUCACAGGCCUACCAGUUCCACUUGGAGAACCGAGCGAUUAGCCUGGACAGCGAUUUCUGUGCCUUUUUUUCUCCCCGCAGCUUCUUUUUAACUGUAAUGUAAUCGGAUGCUUACAACUGAAAUGAUACAUCGUAAGUGUACUUGCAAA